AAAUAGAGGAAAAUCUUCAUGCUGGUAGCUGAGCCUCCGUGGGUUCUUGAUGGUUAUUAUCUACUCCUCCGACCUGGUUAAAGAUCCAGCUCUAUUUUUAGAGAGCUUUUUUGAGCGACAGGCACAGUGUUUCCAUUGCAGGGCCACGGUGCUGUACUGAGAGCUCACGCUGAACUGAUUACCUGCAGAUCUCUCCCGCUGAAGAUAAUGUUUGUUUGCUUUAGACAGCCAAGGGAGGAUUUAUUCUGCUGCUACUUUAAAGUGCAAAUACUUCGUCUUGGUGGUUGUGCAAAAACAUGCAGGAUGCCAUUCUCCCCACAUAGAGAGCUGGACUCCUCAUCCCACACGGUACUUUGCAAGGACUUGCUCAUGAUUUACCAUGUGAAGACUGGGAGGCUGUUUUCAUGCGAGUAUGAUGUGUCCCACAGUGUGUCUAUGGAGAGGAGAAAGAAUUUAAAUAGCCUGCCAGGUGCCAAGGGAACAGAGGGGGAUACAGCACUGCUUCUGGCACCUUUCUGGCAUGAUCUUUGUUAUCAGGCCUAGCUGCACUUGUCAGAUUGCCUCCGCAGACCAAAAUUGAGAACGGUUGACACUGUAUUCCCUGAGGGCUGCUCAGAGCUAAUCCCUGCAGCUCAUCCCAAGGCUGUGCAGAACUGCCUGAGGAAUACCCACCAGUGAAAGCAAAAUAGCCAACGUGAAGCUUGUUUAUUUCAAUACGAGCCCUGGGUUAACGGUGCUUGGGGGAAGGUGGAGCUAUCCAUCAGGGUAUGUGUAUUAGAGAGCAAACAUUUGGUCUUCCUGGCCUCUGUUGGUGCUGCAAGUUGGAAUCAUGAUAGAUAAAGCGAGUUACC
rnacentral:lncRNA from 7 species